rnacentral:misc_RNA from 1 species
GUAGGUGAACCUGCGGAAGGAUCAUUAAUGAGUUUGAUAUGGGGUUUUGAAGCUGGCCUUCCGAGGCAAGUGCUCACCCCUAUUCAUCCAAUUAACCCCUGUGCACCUUUGUAGCGGGUAAGAUCCGAAAGGGUCGAGCCAGCUGCAUAUUUCAUUACAUACAUUGUAGUUCUGAAUGUCUAUUGCAAUUAUAAUGCAUUAAAUACAACUUUCAACAACGGAUCUCUUGGCUCUCGCAUCGAUGAAGAAC